rnacentral:rRNA from 1 species
AGCGAACGCUGGCGGCAGGCUUAACACAUGCAAGUCGAGCGGGCAUAGCAAUAUGUCAGCGGCAGACGGGUGAGUAACGCGUGGGAACGUACCUUUUGGUUCGGAACAACUGAGGGAAACUUCAGCUAAUACCGGAUAAGCCCUUACGGGGAAAGAUUUAUCGCCGAAAGAUCGGCCCGCGUCUGAUUAGCUAGUUGGUGAGGUAAUGGCUCACCAUGGCGACGAUCAGCAGCUGGUCCGAGAGGAUGAUCAGCCACAUUGGGACUGAGACACGGCCCAAACUCCUACGGGAGGCAGCAGUGGGGAAUAUUGGACAAUGGGCGCAAGCCUGAUCCAGCCAUGCCGCGUGAGUGAUGAAGGCCCUAGGGUUGUAAAGCUCUUUUGUGCGGGAAGAUAAUGACGGUACCGCAAGAAUAAGCCCCGGCUAACUUCGUGCCAGCCGCCGCCGUAA